GCAUGAUUCAGUGUGAAAAGCCCUGGCAGUAUAGGAUGGUCCCGCGUCUGAUUAGCUGGUUGGUGAGGUAACGGCUCACCAAGGCGACGAUCAGUAGCCGGCUUGAGAGAGUGAACGGCCACAUUGGGACUGAGACACGGCCCAAACUCCUACGGGAGGCAGCAGUGGGGAAUAUUGCACAAUGGGGGAAACCCUGAUGCAGCGACGCCGCGUGAGUGAAGAAGUAUUUCGGUAUGUAAAGCUCUAUCAGCAGGGAAGAAAACAGACGGUACCUGACUAAGAAGCCCCGGCUAACUACGUGCCAGCAGCCGCGGUAAUACGUAGGGGGCAAGCGUUAUCCGGAAUUACUGGGUGUAAAGGGUGCGUAGGUGGCAUGGUAAGUCAGAAGUGAAAGCCCGGGGCUUAACCCCGGGACUGCUUUUGAAACUGUCAUGCUGGAGUGCAGGAGAGGUAAGCGGAAUUCCUAGUGUAGCGGUGAAAUGCGUAGAUAUUAGGAGGAACACCAGUGGCGAAGGCGGCUUACUGGACUGUCACUGACACUGAUGCACGAAAGCGUGGGGAGCAAACAGGAUUAGAUACCCUGGUAGUCCACGCCGUAAACGAUGAGUACUAGGUGUCGGGGCCGUAGAGGCUUCGGUGCCG
rnacentral:rRNA from 1 species